GCAAUUUGGAGGGAAAGUUCAUUAAAGAUCAAGGCUUUCAAAUUCAUUUUUCAUUACAAAAUUCAUUUGAGGUUCAUUUCCAAAUAUACAAUUACAUCACAAAUCAUUACCCAAAAUCCAAAAUUACACAAAAAAAGUGAACCUUGACCUAUAGUUGACUUUGGUCAACUAUUGACUUUUUGGUCAACCAGUUGACCAAAGUCAACUUCUUAAGCGUAAGUUCUCCAUUUUCUUCACCAUCUGCAUCCUUGUGAGUCUCCCAUGAUCUUCAUGUUUUUUUAUUCCUUGACCAAAAUCUCAUGAACGAAUUAUCCCAUUAUAUGCCAAACCUAAAUAUCCCUACAAAACAUACAUCAAACACACACAUGAUCAACCUUCAUUCAUGAUUCAUAGCAUGUGAUAUUCAUUAAAAUUCAAGCAUAAAAGAUUAGUACACAAGCAAUGUUAAAAAGAAAGUCCACACAUUUCAAGCAAAGGCAUACAUCCAAAAAAGCAUCAAUGUGCAAACUGUGAUUUCAAACCGUUUUCAUGACGAUCCUAAUGUCCCUAAUAACAAGCAUACAUCAUAAGGUCAUCCAUAGGAAUUCACAACUGAGACAUCAAAUAUCUAACAGAAAAAACCUCAUCAAUUCAAACUAGGCAUCGCAAUUUUCAAAACACAACAGACGCAUGACUCAUCUAACAACCAUUAAAACCAUCCAGUGUCUAACACAUUCUAGGCUUUAACCUUCACUAACAUUGUGACAACACACUGACACCAAUAGCUAGUUUCAGUGAGCAUUUUACAUUAGAAUGUAGCAUAGCAUAGAAUAACUAAUUUCAAAUCUAAAUUCAAGCUGACAUAACCCUAUUAUCUCAUUGACUUCCAUCACUAAUAUUCAAACAUAACAAAGCUUCUAAUCGAUUUUAAAUAGCAUUCCAUUAGCAUAUUCAAACUAAUCAGCAUAUUAACAUUUAAAAUCAUCAUCAGUUGGUAUCACUAAACUAACCUAGCUUUUAACUGCAUUUAAGUUGAAAAACUAAUUAGAACAAACCAUAAUAAAACUCAUUGCAUAGUUAAUAUCAUCCAACUUUGAUAACUUUCCCAACUUCAAUAAAUUCCUAACUCCCCCAUUAACGUAAAAUUUUUGUGAUUUCAAAAGGAACUCAUAGCAGUAACUUCAUAUCAAUAUAACUAUUAACACAUUGACAUAAUACAUAGCAAUUUAACAGUCCAAUAACAAUCUAACAUUUAAUUCAAUUAAGCAUUUCUAACUUCAAACAUAACUAACUGCAAUUAACAAAUAGAGUUUGAACAUUUCAGUCUAGCAACCUAACUGGAAAAAAACUUUGAACUAACUAAUUGCAUAAUAGUACAUCACAACUAACUAAUUUAACUGAACCAAACUAACUCCUAGCAGAAUCUAACAGUGUCAUUAGCAUUCAACAAACAUUGCCUUAGAUAUUUAACAGAGUAAAAUCGUGCCGUAACUGCUACCUAACGUGCCCGAGUUUGUUACUCAAUCCAACUUCUAUAAAGCAUCUCUUCUAAUCAUUGCUUAGGGGAUUCAAUCAUUUUCACACUCACCCAAUCAUUACACAAGCUGAGAAUCAUUCAUUACUCAAACAAUUUCUCCCAAUCUCUCUACAUCACCCUCACUCUUCCCUCAAUAUCUCCCUACACUCUCACCAUUCUCACGCAUUCUUCAACCCUAGAUACAACCACACCAAUCACAGAGCAAGCACGAUUAUCACAGAGCAUCACAUCAAUCAUUUCCUACAGCCUAGAGAGUAGUUUAGAAGUAGAAGUGAAGAAUAAGAAAAGAGAAUUGAAGGUUGAAUUGGAGGUUUAGAAGCUUACCUAUAGCUUCUUCAUCUUCACCUCCGUUCUUGCUUCGAAUUCAAAACUCGCCGGGAGUUUCUUCCUCGUAGGUAGGAUCAGUUGAUUACUAUUCCAUUUCACCUUGUUUUGUUACCAUCAUGUAGCUAAUGACUUGAGGAUUCAAAGCCCUAACAGGAGAGGCUUUGAUUCCUCCUCUAUUUUAUUUCAUUUCUGAGUAUAGUGAGUUAGGGUUUAUAUAGAUUUCGGUUAGUUUUAAGAGAUGGUUUAGGAAUUAGAGAAAAUUAAUAUGGGGUUAUGGAAGAGAGGAAAACAACAAACAAGGUGUUGUAUAAUUUGAGAGGUUUGAACCUCCAUCACCACCCGAGACGAUUUCCAGCGCGACAGAGUUGCUUGACUCAAGAAAAGUUUUGUUAUCAUGUAUGAAUGAAGAGGGAAAUAAUUUGAAAUGGUAUUGGUCUCAUCUUCCCCUUAGAUUGGCUUCAUGGCAUGGGCUCUUAAGUAUUUGGCCCAUGAUAAAUUGAUUCUUUCACCCUACACUCGUGUACCAUAUCCUCUUCCUGAAG
rnacentral:lncRNA from 1 species